ensembl:snRNA U6 U6 spliceosomal RNA
GUGCUCGCUCUGGCAGCACAUAUACUAAAAUUGGAACCACACAGAGAAGAUUAGCAUGGCCCCUGUGCAAGGAUGAUACACAAGUUUGUGAAGCGUUCCCUAUUUUU